rnacentral:rRNA from 2 species
UAGGGAAUAUUGCGCAAUGGGCGAAAGCCUGACGCAGCGACGCCGCGUGAGUGAUGAAGGCCUUAGGGUCGUAAAGCUCUGUUGAAUGGGAAGAAAAAAAUGACGGUACCAUUCGAGAAAGGACCGGCUAACUUCGUGCCAGCAGCCGCGGUAAGACGAGGGGUCCUAGCGUUGUUCGGAAUCAUUGGGCGUAAAGCGUAUGUAGGUGGCCUUAUAAGUCAGGUGUGAAAGCCCCGGGCUCAACCCGGGAAGUGCAUUUGAUACUGUUUGGCUUGAGUACCGAAGAGGAUAGUGGAAUUCCAGGUGUAGUGGUGAAAUACGUAGAUAUCUGGAGGAACACCGGUGGCGAAGGCGGCUAUCUGGUCGAGUACUGACACUGAGAUACGAAAGCGUGGGGAUCAAACAGG